GGACUACCGGGGUUUCUAAUCCCGUUCGCUACCCUGGCUUUCGUGUUUGAGCGUCAGGAACGUACCAGUGCAUUGCCUUCGCCUUUGGUGUUCCCCAUGAUAUCAACGGAUUUCACCCCUCCACCAUGAGUUCCAUGCACCUCUUACGCCCUCGAGCCAUACCGUUUCCCUCGCAGACCGUAGGUUGAGCCCACGGAUUUAACAAGAGACUAAUAUGGCCGCCUAGACACCCUUUACGCCCAAUGAUUCCGGGUAAUGCUUGGGGCCUCUGUAUUACCGCGGCUGCUGGCAC
rnacentral:rRNA from 1 species